rnacentral:tRNA from 1 species
GGUGGCUCAGUGGUAGAGCGCAUGCCUUGCAUGCAUAAGGCCCUGGGUUCAAUUCCUCAGCACCA